rnacentral:rRNA from 1 species
UACGUAGGGUGCAAGCGUUAAUCGGAAUUACUGGGCGUAAAGCGUGCGCAGGCGGUUUUGUAAGUCUGUCGUGAAAGCCCCGGGCUCAACCUGGGAAUUGCGAUGGAGACUGCAAGGCUUGAAUCUGGCAGAGGGGGGUAGAAUUCCACGUGUAGCAGUGAAAUGCGUAGAGAUGUGGAGGAACACCGAUGGCGAAGGCAGCCCCCUGGGUCAAGAUUGACGCUCAUGCACGAAAGUGUGGGGAGCAAACAGG